CGGAUGGAUUGGGAUGGAGGGAUGGGGACGGAUGGAUUGGGACGGAUGGACGGGGAAUAUGGAGGGAUGGAUGGAUGGGAAAUGAGGAAGAGAGACGAUGGAUGGAUGGACGGCUGGGGAUGCAGGGACGGGAGCAGGACGGAGGCCCGGGCAAUGCGGAGGGGGCAGCCCAACACCCCCACACUGCACCCCAUCUGCGCCCCCCCACAGCCCCCCCGAAGCCCAGCGACUGCAGCACGGACGGCUCCACCAAACCCAUCCCCCCCUCCCCAAAGAAAACCCUAUUCAAUAAUUCCUGCCAAUAAAUAACGUUUUCACCUC